CCCACGCACUGUUAUUUUUCUCUCCCACCGGCCGUCCCUCUCUCUCUCCCGUGUUUUCUUUUUCCGGCCACCCAUACUGUACACGCGCCGGCCAGUGACGUGCGGAAGGAAGAGGCGACCUCAGCCACCAAAUUUCCCGGCCAGCCGCCGCCGGACGCGCGCCGAUCGGGCCGGAGAAGCCGCCGGCCGCCGGAUUUUCUCUCUCCUCUUUUCUUGUGUUUUCCGGCCAGCCCAGUCCCAAUUGAGCCUCCUCUCCCCCUAUUUUGGGUCCCCUGAGUUCAAAAAUGGCCUCCAAUCCCAAAAAUUCGAAGCGGUUUGCGAGAUACGAGGGAUUGAAAACCGGCCGAAACUUCCCGAUCAAAUUCCGGCCACCUCCGGCGGAACUGGGGUCGAUGGAGACCGGAUUUGUGAUCCUCGUCCCACGAGCUUCGAUUCGGAGCACCGGUGAGUCGUGAAAUUGAUCCCGUGAUGGAUCGUAGGUUAAUUGCGUGCUCCAGGUCCAGGUUGGAGACGUUGAUUGUCCGGGGCGAGCCCAACGUCUCAGUUCGUUGCCGAAGGUUCAAGCAGUUUUUCUUCCCUUUUUCCUCUCUAUCUUGUAUUGUUUCUUUAUCUGUCAUUUUUAUAAAUUCCACAUUUGUUGUAUAACGCUCUGUAUACUGUAUUGGACGUGUAGUUGUUCUUUAUGCACUGGG